rnacentral:rRNA from 1 species
CCUACGGGGCGCUGCAGUGGGGAAUAUUGGACAAUGGGCGAAAGCCUGAUCCAGCCAUGCCGCGUGUGUGAAGAAGGCCUUCGGGUUGUAAAGCACUUUCAGUGGGGAAGAAAGCCUUGGGGCUAAUACCCUCGAGGAAGGACAUCACCCACAGAAGAAGCACCGGCUAACUCCGUGCCAGCAGCCGCGGUAAUACGGAGGGUGCGAGCGUUAAUCGGAAUUACUGGGCGUAAAGCGCGCGUAGGCGGUCUGAUAAGCCGGUUGUGAAAGCCCCGGGCUCAACCUGGGAACGGCAUCCGGAACUGUCAGGCUAGAGUGCAGGAGAGGAAGGUAGAAUUCCCGGUGUAGCGGUGAAAUGCGUAGAGAUCGGGAGGAAUACCAGUGGCGAAGGCGGCCUUCUGGACUGACACUGAUGCUGAGGUGCGAAAGCGUGGGUAGCAAACAGGAUUAGAUACCCUUGUAGUC